rnacentral:rRNA from 1 species
GACAGAGGUCCCGAGCGUUAGGCGGAAUCACUGGGCUUAAAGCGUGUGUAGGCGGCGGCCUAAGUACCUUGUGAAAUCCCACGGCUUAACCGUGGAACUGCUCGGUAUACUGGCGAUCUUGAGCCACUUAGGGGUCAGCGGAACAAAUGGUGGAGCGGUGAAAUGCGUAGAUAUCGGAAGGAACACCGGUGGCGAAAGCGGCGCGCUGGACCUCUACUGACGCUGAGGCGCGAAAGCCAGGGGAGCAAACGGG